UACGUAGGGUGCGAGCGUUGUCCGGAAUUAUUGGGCGUAAAGAGCUUGUAGGCGGUCUGUCGCGUCUGCUGUGAAAAUCCGGGGCUCAACCCCGGACUUGCAGUGGGUACGGGCAGACUAGAGUGUGGUAGGGGAGACUGGAAUUCCUGGUGUAGCGGUGAAAUGCGCAGAUAUCAGGAGGAACACCGAUGGCGAAGGCAGCUCGCUGGGACGGUAUUGACGCUGAGACGCGAAAGCGUGGGGAGCAAACAGG
rnacentral:rRNA from 1 species